UACGGGGGGGGCAAGCGUUGUUCGGAAUUACUGGGCGUAAAGGGUUUGUAGGUGGCCUGCUAAGUCAGACGUGAAAUCCCUCAGCUUAACUGGGGAACUGCGUCUGAGACUGGUAGGCUCGAGGACAGGAGAGGAACGCGGAAUUCCAGGUGUAGCGGUGAAAUGCGUAGAUAUCUGGAGGAACACCGGUGUCGAAGGCGGCGUUCUGGACUGUUUCUGACACUGAAAAACGAAAGCCAGGGGAGCAAACGGG
rnacentral:rRNA from 1 species